rnacentral:rRNA from 1 species
UACAUAACAUAAGAGGCUUUCAGAAAACUAGAGGGACCGCUGCGACUUUUUAAACCAGAGGAAGGUUGCGGCAAUAACAGGUCUGUGAUGCCCUUAGAUGUUCCGGGCUGCACACGUGCUACAAUGAUUAUUGCAGUGAGCAUCUCAUUUUAUUUUUUGUGCUUGUCUUGUCUUUUUGUAUAUUUUAUUAUAUAUAUAUUUGACGACAGCCUUAGCCUGCUUCGAAAGUUCGCAGGUAAUCAAUUGGAAGUAAUGAUUUCCCUUUUUCUUUUUUUAUUACAUUUAUUUUUUGUGAUUUCUUUAAUUAAGCGAGCACACAAUAUGCUGCUCUCUCGCCCUGUCUUUGUCUUUGAUUGUUUGUAUUCAUACAUCUUUUACAUGUACUUUGAUUGCGUUUUGUGGGAGUGUGCAUGUCUUUUUUUAUAUAUUAUUUUUAUAUCUUAUGCGUCUUAUAUUUAUAUAAUUCGUAUGCUAUAUAUAUUUAUAUUUAAAUCGCAUCUAUCAGCAUGUGCUUUUUGUUAAUUCAAGGUGGGGACAGACCCUUGUUAAUUGUUGGUCUCGUUUCAACUAGGAAUGCCUUGUACGGGUCUUUGGUUCAACAAACCACCCGGAAUACGUCCCUGCCCUUUGUACACACCGCCCGUCGCUCUUACCGAUGGACUUCUCUGUGAGUUUGAGGGACUGGGUUGUAUAUUAUUUUUUAUAUUUAUACAAACACCUAUGGAAACUUAAACGAACAGUGUGGU